rnacentral:rRNA from 1 species
AGGACGAACGCUGGCGGCGUGCUUAACACAUGCAAGUCGAGCGGUAAGGCCUUUCGGGGUACACGAGCGGCGAACGGGUGAGUAACACGUGGGUGAUCUGCCCUGCACUCUGGGAUAAGCCUGGGAAACUGGGUCUAAUACCGGAUAUGACCUGCUCUCGCAUGGGGGUGGGUGGAAAGAUUUAUCGGUGCAGGAUGGGCCCGCGGCCUAUCAGCUUGUUGGUGGGGUAAUGGCCUACCAAGGCGACGACGGGUAGCCGACCUGAGAGGGUGACCGGCCACACUGGGACUGAGACACGGCCCAGACUCCUACGGGAGCAGCAGUGGGGAAUA